GGCUAUGCACCUUGGGUGACGUCGGUGAGCUUGGUGUUGCAGUCACUUGAUUGCAGUACUGGUGGAGGAAGUGGUUUAAAAACUCUGUUCGUAUGCCAGCUAUUAUCUAGCAAAAAAUAAUGUUUUAUCAUACCAUGGCAUGCCAACAUGUGUCUGCUUGUCCUACCUUGAGAUCAUCAUGGAGAGUGGCUCUUGAUGUUGCUUGUAGAGUCAGCCAGCCAUGGAAGGGGAGUAGUUUGUCUUACUCUGGCUUUGCUCCCAUGGAGCCUGGUCACCAGGACAGACGUAAAGAUGACUCCACCAUCCACCAGCUGAACAGACACUGCACACACCUGUCAUGCUUAGAAGUGCUCCAAUGUUUAGAUAUUCAACCUGGCCAGGUUGUUUGUGGCCAAACUUCACUUCUCAGUUCAUAAGAUGGGCUACUUCUCUUGAGAGGGCACAUUAAGUCACCAGGAUCCCACUACCUUUGCUUUCCCAUACAUACUACCAGGACAGAUGGACAUGAGUCAAAGGCCUUCUGUUUCUGGUGGGCAGUGCUGAUGGAGACUUGAUGGGCCCCCUGGGUGGCUGAGAGAUGCUGCACGGACAGGGCAGGUGGGGGCCAUGGGUCAACAACUUAGUCAGGCAUUGUGCCACCGUAAGGCUGUUGGCAGGACAUAGAGUGCUGCCUGCAACACUCCUGCCUGAACUUUAGCGCCUCUUACUGUAACUCCUUCACUCUCCGCCCAUUGGCCAACUGUCCCAAUAAAGCUAGCCAAGAGCUUGCCAUUAAAAACAAGUGUUAGAUUUUUUUUAUGUAAUUCUAGUCACUGCACAUAAAGCCUGUCAAUCUAGGGUGUAGCCUGGUUGCAUAUAUAUUACAGUAUUGCUUUAUACAGUUUGUGCUUCACCCCCAAAUGCUGAAAUUGAAUUUAUUAAAAGCUGAAAGACCGGCAAUGUAGCACAGUAAUUAAAAGCUGUAAUAAUUUACGUUAAAGCAGCAAUCUGCUGUUUAAACAAUAAUAAAGUCACCCCGCCACUGUUUUGGUAAAAUGCUGAGGGAUGGGGCUUAAGAAAUGUAACCACUCUCAAAUUCAUAAACAGAGCUAUGUAUGGACUGACUAUCCAUGAUGCAACAUUUGAGUUUUAGCCAUGUUUUGAGGCCAUACUGUGUUUAUAAUGACAUUAUUUACAAACAAGUUUAGGCAAUAAUUUGGGUUCUGAUGGGGUAUGACAGUUGAACUAAGCUUUUGAGUAAUACAUCAUUCAUUUAAAUGGCCAUGUGGGAUGUAGUAGUCACAGAUUGGCCCUUUAAGUUGUGCUUACUUGUGUGUGUAUGCUGCUGUAAUUACACUUGUAGCAACAUUGUCAAACCAGCAUUACAGAAUAUACAUAUUGGCAUACUCAGUCCACUCCCCCAUACUCAAAUACAUUAGCAGAAUGUUUUGGGUACUGCACAUCCAUCUUACCUUCAACUUUCAGACUGAGACACUUGUGUGUGCAGAAAGUAGGCUAGCUGUGUAAAUAGAAACUACAUAAACACUAAGCCUACUUUGGCAUGCUUGAUUGAAUCCAGCUCUUACUGUAAUUUCUCUUUGAUUGAGAUUUGAAAUGCGUCAUGUUCAGACUGCUCGCUGGAACAUUGCAACGACAAUGGCAACUGUUUAUAAACUGAAAUGUAAGGUCUCACAAACAUAAAUACAAUGUUUAUUCAUUUAUGUGGUCUAUUAGGCUAUAUGUAAUAGCAGCCUUGGUCAAGGUACACAUGUAAAUAAACAGCUACAAACCAUUUAGUUUUUGUGUUUACAUUUCCAU